AUUGAACGCUGGCGGCAGGCCUAACACAUGCAAGUCGAGCGGUAACAGAACUAGCUUGCUAGUUGCUGACGAGCGGCGGACGGGUGAGUAACGCGUAGGAAUCUGCCCGGUAGCGGGGGAUAGCCCAGAGAAAUUUGGAUUAAUACCGCAUACGCCCUACGGGGGAAAGCAGGGGAUCUUCGGACCUUGCGCUAUCGGAUGAGCCUGCGUCGGAUUAGCUAGUUGGUGGGGUAAUGGCCUACCAAGGCGACGAUCCGUAGCUGGUCUGAGAGGAUGAUCAGCCACACCGGAACUGAGACACGGUCCGGACUCCUACGGGAGGCAGCAGUGGGGAAUAUUGCACAAUGGGCGCAAGCCUGAUGCAGCCAUGCCGCGUGUGU
rnacentral:rRNA from 1 species